GAUGGGUUUCGUGAGGUUUAGUUGGGUUUCGUGAGGUUUAGUUGGGUUUCGUGAGGUUUAAUCUAACCUAACGCUGCUAACGGCGUUGGCCGGUAUUAUUAUUUAGAUCUAAUCUUAUUCGAUAACAGCAGCGCCAUCUACUGCCGCCGUGUUAUAUUAUCCCCUAAUACGUACGUAAGAACCUUGUGCCUAUUUGUUUUCUCUCUUUGGUCCAAAAGCAACAUAGACAAAACGCAUUUACGCAGAAUUGUUUUUUCUAUGUUUUUUAAGUAAUUUUUUUAGAGUAAAAUCACCCAUUACAAAAAAUAUAGAGAAUAAAAUUUUUGAGGGAAUUACGUAUCAAUAUGUCUAAAUAUUGUCUCAAAACAAUUUAAAUGUAAGUACGACAAUUUUUUUUGUUUUAUUGAAAGUUGAGGAGCAAUAAAAUAUAAAAUCGACAUCAAAAAUAUUAUUCUAUAUCUUUUUUGUAAUGGGUGAUUUUAGUCUAGUCUCUAAGAUUACUGAAAAAAACGUUGAAAAAUGAUUUUUCGUAAAUGCGUUUUGUCCAUAAUUAUUUUUCUAUGGUAGGUUAGGUUAGGUCAUACCUAGGUACAUUCUUGGUGCAUAUACCUAGGUAUAUCUUAAUCGUGGCCACGGUUUUCUAUUCUAAACCAAAACAGAUUACCAAAAGGAAUAAUGGUUUGAAGAAAUUAUUGUCAAAACCACAUCCAAUCUUAACUGCUAACAAGUGACGUUAACAUUGUUACACAUGGCAAUGGCAAGAUAUUUUGUCCACAAAGAAAUGAAUAACCGCUUGAAGAUCUAUGAAGUAUUCUAGUAUUUGUAAAUUAUUAAAAAACUUGAAUAUUAUACUAUUAUAACUUAUCUUAUUUGAAACAU